rnacentral:rRNA from 1 species
GAUGAACGCUGGCGGCGUGCCUAAUACAUGCAAGUCGAGCGAACAGACGAGGAGCUUGCUCCUCUGACGUUAGCGGCGGACGGGUGAGUAACACGUGGAUAACCUACCUAUAAGACUGGGAUAACUUCGGGAAACCGGCGCUAAUACCGGAUAAUAUAUUGAACCGCAUGGUUCAAUAGAGAAAGACGGUUUUGCUGUCACUUAUAGAUGGAUCCGCGCCGCAUUAGCUAGUUGGUAAGGUAACGGCUUACCAAGGCAACGAUGCGUAGCCGACCUGAGAGGGUGAUCGGCCACACUGGAACUGAGACACGGUCCAGACGCCUGCGGGAGGCAGCAGUAGGGAAUCUUCCGCAAUGGGCGAAAGCCUGACGGAGCAACGCCGCGUGAGUGAUGAAGGUCUUCGGAUCGUAAAACUCUGUUAUUAGGGAAGAACAAAUGUGUAAGGAACUAUGCACGUCUUGACGGUACCUAAUCAGAAAGCCACGGCUAACUACGUG